UACGAAGGGGGCUAGCGUUGCUCGGAAUGACUGGGCGUAAAGGGCGCGUAGGCGGUUUGUACAGUCAGAUGUGAAAUUCCUGGGCUCAACCUGGGGGGCUGCAUUUGAUACGUAUGGACUGGAGUGAGGAAGAGGGUCGUGGAAUUCCCAGUGUAGAGGUGAAAUUCGUAGAUAUUGGGAGGAACACCGGUGGCGAAGGCGGGACUCUGGGCCGAUACUGACGCUGAGGAGCGAAAGCGUGGGGAGCAAACAGG
rnacentral:rRNA from 1 species